CAUGAUGUAUAAUCAGUAAGAUGUUUAAUUAGAACGUAGUAAGAUUGAUUAAUACUUGGAUGUAACCGAAGAUGCAUUUUAGAGCUCGACUUUGAUGUCAAGCGAUCGAUUAUCAAGAGUAAACUUCUCCUUAAAUCAAACUGCAAGGAUUUAUUUACCAGUUUUAGAGGUUACGAAUUAAUUAGCGUGGAAUAAGGCAAGAUAUUAGUAAUGUUGUGGAGGAAAUACUAGAACACUUACCAAAGAGUGUACGUGGAUCCAAUAACGAUCUAUACCACUGAGAAGUUACUGCGACACUGGAUGAAGAAGUGUAGUGAAAUUCAGUACUGGUAUGGCUGCUGCUCCAUGGUAUAAGAGAACUGGUGCCAACUAUACUAGAAGGAGAGAGGGAAGGUCGUCAUAUGGCCAUGAAGAAGAAAGAGAGAAACUCAGUUGAUUCAUGUGGUAACAAAACGGGGAUAGAGAAUGAGUCGGAAUAACCACAAAGAGACGAUAGACAAGGAUGGAGAUGCUGCUGAUUGCUGAACUACUGAGUGAGUAAGACUACAUAUCACAGUAACGUGUAUACGCACUGUAGUUACUCAUGUUAUAUCUACUGGGUGCUCUGAUAGAAAUCAUCAAUGUGUCAAAGGGUUUCGUAAUCAAAACAAUGAUGAGCUCACUUAAAAAUUUGGGAAUCUUGCGUUAUGAUUUGUUACUAUCAUUUUGACCAUGAUUUUCUAUUUUUUUAUUGCUUGCACUUUAUAAAUAGCUUCAAGAAAAAGGAAAAAUCAUUGAAGAAUUUAGAAAUCACGUGAAACCUUCAAGCAGUCUUGGAGUUAUGCUGCGGAAAAUUUUGUUUAUCAGAAGAAUUGUUUUUCUUAAACAAUGUCAUACUUAACAACCGAAUAAUUGCGGUUUUUUUUUUUACAUAAAAUUAUUUUUUUUAAUUUAAUUAAAAAUUUAGACUUCAAUAGUAUAUUGUACAGGUCACAGUUAAGUCACCAAACUUUAUUUGAAGCAUCACUAUGAGGAAUAUAAUGAAUUUAUGUUAAGUUAGUAAAGGUAGGAUGGUUAUAUAAUAAAUAGACAUGAUAUGUGGAUGUUCCGAUUGUUGACCUCCUUUCAAGUGCUCUACAGUUGAUAGAGGGACCUGAGGCACUAAUUAGAUACGUAUUUAAAACUAUAUAUCAUUUCAUUUAUCAUAAUGCAUUUGAAAUAUUGCACACA